rnacentral:sRNA from 1 species
GUUUGCAGAAGGGCGAUUGAGGUGUAC